AAAUUGAAGAGUUUGAUCAUGGCUCAGAUUGAACGCUGGCGGCAGGCCUAACACAUGCAAGUCGAACGGUAACAGGAAACAGCUUGCUGUUUCGCUGACGAGUGGCGGACGGGUGAGUAAUGUCUGGGAAACUGCCCGAUGGAGGGGGAUAACUACUGGAAACGGUAGCUAAUACCGCAUAACGUCGCAAGACCAAAGAGGGGGACCUUAGGGCCUCUUG
rnacentral:rRNA from 1 species